AGUCAAUAGAUACCCGGGUAGUCCACGCCGUAAACGAUGAGUACUAGGUGUAGGAGGUAUCGACUCCUUCUGUGCCGCAGUUAAACACAAUAAGUACUCCGCCUGGGAAGUACGGUCGCAAGAUUAAAACUCAAAGGAAUUGACGGGGGCCCGCACAAGCAGCGGAGCAUGUGGUUUAAUUCGAAGCAACGCGAAGAACCUUACCUAGACUUGACAUCUCCUGAAUAGUGUAGAGAUACAUGAAGCCCUUCGGGGCAGGAAGACAGGUGGUGCAGUGGUUGUCGUCAGCUCGUGUCGUGAGAUGGUUAGGGUUAACGUCCCGACAACGAGCGACUAACCCUUAUUACUAGUUGCUACUAUUAAGUUGAGCACUCUAGUGAGACUCGGACCC
rnacentral:rRNA from 1 species